AUCAGAACUUUGUGUGAUACUUCAAUCUCCACAAUCUGAGUAUUGAUAAUGAUUUGAUGGCUGAAAAUGUCUGUGAUGUUCACUUACUCAUCCUAGAAUACCCCACCCUGACCCUACACAUGGAAGAUAAAGAUCUUCAAAAGCGUCUAUAUGAAAUUUGGGUUUCAAUAUUUGACAUAAUUGUGAGAGAUUUGUAAGGAGGAAGAAAGGAAAAGUUUUUAUUCGUGCUUGAUUCUCUUUGCACUGCUGCUGGAGUGGUGGUGGCAUGGAGUAAGAGAUCCCCAGGGAGACAUUCAGGAAUCGAUGAUCAAGGUCAUGUGGACCAGGAGCCCUUCCUUAUCAGGAGAUUCAUCUUGCAGAUUACACCUUGUGUUUCAGAAGAGAGACUGGAUUGCAAGAGUUCAAAAAUAUUCUCAAGUCCUCUUCUCUUUCUUCUCUUCCUGACAAACUUCUCCUUGAGCUUCAAAAUUCAGAGCAUAUGUUUACCAUUCCUCAGGAAACCUGUCUUGACUCUCCCAUGUAAAGAACCAGCAUGUGCGUUCCUCUUAAUCUCAAGUCAGCACCCAGAUCUCCGAUUGAAGAUCAGCAGUACGUGUUGUCAUGGCCGAACUUCUCCAUCCUCUUCAUUCUUCUUUCUACUGGAGACAGUUGCAGAGACUGGCUUGCUUGUGAUCCUGGACUCCCUUGACUUCCUGGUGCAGGAGCCCUUGUUCAAAAUCUGUACAUGAAAUACUGGUUAGAGUAUUUGUAGUUCUGGAACCUAUGUGGCCUUGCCCCCUCCCUACCAAAUCCCAGCCUUCUCCACAGAGAAGCAGCGCAUUGAAAUCUUCCUCACAGGGCUCUUAGGAUGUGACAAUAGACUUUUUUUUCCCACACAGUUUAAUUUAGUCUUCACUGAAUCAUGCUAAAAUACACAUCUGUACAUCACUAAAACAUUUUGCAAACUUCCUCCAAAAAAUGAUCCGUAUAUUUUUUUAUCAUUGAAUAUCAUUGAAUGAUAUCAAUGAAUAUCAAAGAUCUCUCCUUAUUUUCAAUGUCACACAUCUAGUUUUCAAGUUAAAGCAAUAAGUAUUUAUUUCUGUAAAAACAUUCACCAGAAUACAGAACAGAAAUAUAAAAUAUAAGAAUGAAUACUUUGAUAUCAAGUGUGGGUGACCUAACUAAAAUCCAUUCCUCUCUCUCGUGGAAGGAGAGGGAAGUAACAGGAACACUCAGUAGGAUGCCACUGGUAUGAUGUUACCUGGUGCAACACAAGACUGUCCAUCGACAAGGGAUAUAUUUGUAUUUAAUAAAAGCAUGAAUGCAUAAAUGAGCUUGAUGAAC
rnacentral:lncRNA from 1 species